ACCUCUAAGACCCCCAAGUCCAGCCCCAGCCCACCCCACCAUGCCCAUAAUCACAUCCCUCAGUGCCACAUCCCCACUGUUCUGGAGCAUCUCCACGGACGGUGACCCCACCACUCCCUGGGCAGCUGUGCCCGUGCAGCACUGCUCCUUCAGUGAAGAAAUGUUUCCUAACUUAUCUCUUUUUAAAAAUCAGUCUAAAUAGGUUCAGGACAUCGAUUAAUUGCCAUAAGCACGUGCGUGCUUGGCAUAAAGGCAGGGUAGAAGACUUGCAGCGUUUCCUUCCCCCUGUAAAUGAGCACUACGCCAUCCACUUGCAAAACUGAGAUUCCCCCUGGGUAACACUUGGCUCUGAUGCAUUAUUAACCAUUUUAAUUUUUAAGUGGCUUGAAGAUACCCAGGUAAAGCGAGGCAGAUCUGGGUCAGGCACACUGCGCAGCAGCUUUCAUUAGCAGCUGUGCAGCUUUGUCACCUCUGUGAAUCUCAGGGAGCCCGGGUACCUCCCCUGCUCUGCAGUGGAGCUGGAUCAGAGAUGACCUCUUCAGGGAGAAAUGGUAAUUGGAAGCGUCGGUUAUCUGAAACUUUUAUCCAAAAAGACAGCAUCCCAGGCACCGCGCCAACCUGCUCACAUUUAGAAUGUUUUAGGAUAUUUGAAGGAAGUCACAUGCACGGCAUACAUUUUAAUGCUCAAAGGACUCUUGAGAUAACAUAUGUAUUUUUUCCAAGCGUAAGGCAAAUAGUGGGAAGGGAGAGAUACGUAUCACAAAGUCAGCUGAAAACGCUGGGGGGAAGAUCUGUCUUCAGCCACCAGCAAGUGCUCCGUGUUGAUCCAUACUGCUAUUUCUGAGAGCGUUUUGUUAACCCAAAGGUCACCACGAGUGACCACGUUCUCAGCCUGGAGUCCGCCUGUUUCCAUCGCCACCUCCCUUCAGUCUUUGAAGGGACAGGGAAAAAAAAGCCUCACCUUGCUUCAGAAUGCUGUGUUUCUGGAAAGAUUAAAUGAAGAGAUGAAAAUGCAGAGCAGAACAUGCCCAGAUGUGUCAGCUGCUCUCCCCACGGAGCUACCAACUCAUUCCAGGUGCUGAUUUACUCCUUGGGUUUUCUUUGUGGUUUACCUCAGCCCAGACUCAGCCAGGCUCUGGGUGCCCAUGCCUUUGGUGUCGCAUUGCCAAACAGCAGCAAGCUGCAAUAGUAUCAGCUCAGCAGUGAUGUGCAGACACCUGGAAGUCCCUCAGCAAAGCCAUGUUUGGCAGUGAGUCCUGUCUGGGCGGUGCUCCUGGAGCUGACUGCAUCCCAUAUCUCACCAGGUGUGCGCCUGGCAUUCACAGAGAACGAAGUCCUGUGCACCACAACCACAGGAAGGAUGUGGGGAGCCGUGAUCCUGUGCAGCAAAUCUGCGCCUUCUAAGCUGCUUCAGGUGUUCACAUCGAGACCAUCACCAGCGAGGCCACUGUUAAUCACUUUUCAUCCUGAAGAAGGACCCCAGCUGACUGAUGCCUCUUAGAACCAUAGAACCGUUAAUGUUGGAAAAGAUCACCAAGUUCAACCCCAAUCCAUCCCCACCAUGCCCUUAACAGCGUCCCUCAGUACCACAUCUCCAUGGUUCUGGAACACCUCCAGGGAUGGUGACACCACCACUCCUCGUGCAGCUGUGCCACUGCGCCAUCGUUCUUUCAGAGAAGAAAUUUUUCCUAAUAUCCAACUCUUCAAGACCAAAGUAGUGUUACUUGUUAUCAGACUGGACAGAAGGGAUCUGAGCCAGGACUGGGCAGUGGGGACCAUCUUGCUGUCCUCUCACAUGUUGGCGCUCAUCCCGGCCUCUUCACACACAAAGGUAAGGUGUCACAUGUUUCUGCACUACAGUGAGCUGACAGUUGGGCAUUUUCUUGCCAUCACUCUCUGUCUUCUGGCAGUGGUUGGUAGUGCUGGGAUUGGGACUCAUUUUCAAAUGAGCGUUGUGGUGGUGAUGGGCUGAUGGUUGGACUAGGUGAUCUUAGCGGUCUUUUCCAACCUUGAUGAUUCUGUGGUCCAAAUGUCUUGCGGCUAUUGAGCAGAAGGCAGCAAAAGAUAGCCUGUCCCUUGGGGACACCCAGCCCAGAGCACUGUGCCCUUUGCUAGGGAGCAGCGUGGGCUCUGGAUGUGGCAGCAGUGGAGCAGUGGUAGGCAGUGACAGAGCUGGUUUGUGUCACUCCUUCAGCCCUGCCUGUUAAACCAGCUGGUUUCUGCAGGCUGCUUGCAGAGGAAGAUGUCUUAUUAGAGUGUAAAGAAAUUCUGUGUGGUGAGCUAGCAUGGUCAGAUGUCCUGCACUCACAAGAGAAAUGCAGCUGCUCUGUAGAUCUAACAAGAUGUUGUGCAACGUGAUGGAUAGAUGUGAUGCAUGAAACGUGACAUGUGUCUGUGGAAAUAACGUUAGAAAUCCUAAUUCUUGGCUUAUUGGUAUGAAACACAACUGAAGAGGAGAAAUUCAGCUAUUGCAGAUAGAUUUCCAACAAACAUAAAUAAAGGAGCCUUUACCAUGCUUUAUUUCAACUUCACUGACCCUUUCCUUCCCAGAAGCUAUUGCUAUCUUGGUCUCCAUUACAUGUAGAAAUUACGUGAUCGGCAAGAGAUCUCUACAGAUGUCACCUAAAGGUAAUCGAGUAGUAGAGGAGGAACAAGGUUGAAGGAGGGGAAAGGCAAAAGUACAAAUGGUCUGUUAUCUUUGCUGAGUGCGAGAUACAAACUUGCAAUGGAUCACCAUGUGAAUCAACAAAGCAGCAGGAAUAGGAAUGCUCCAAUCCAGCUUGUAAAAACAAGCCAGUGGCCAGGCUCGUCUUAUUUGUCUCUUUUUCUGACCCAUUUAGAUUCCUUCCUCUUAAAGGACGUUUCCUCAAAUGGCAGUGUUUAACUAAUGCAGAAUUCCUACAUCUGAAGGACAGUCUGUGAUCCAGUCCAUUGACUCCUGAUUUCAUUUAAACUGCAAUUCAUUAUUUUCUUCCUGUGCUCAUUCAAGAACCCAUUGUUCAUUACUCUUUCAUCACGCUAUGAUUGGAACAAUUUGUAUCUGUCGCUCAUACAUUGGCCAGAUAAUGAAAUAAUCAUUUGUGCAUCUACACAGUAUUUUACAUUUAUUUUUCACAGUGUAAUUCACUUUGUAGGGUCAUUUUAUCAUUCUGGAACAAAUUGUGAUCUUGUUUAAGCAUUUGGUAGUUGGCAACAGUCUGCUACUGCCAAUGUCAGGACACAUGUCUGAACAGACAGACAGAAUGGCAGGGAAGUAAUUGCUGAUCCUCCAGUCAACAAAACCAGCCCGUCUUCUAGGAGGAAGGAUUCUUUUGCCACUGUCUUUGUCCACAGAACACCGAUGUUAUUGAGCAGCCUUUCCCAAGGUUUGGGUCAGCCCAUCGGAGACAGGCAUAAUAAGAAGGGAUAAGAUUACCUUAAUAAAAAUGAAACUGGACGAUAACGCACCCAGAGCACAAUUAUAGCACUAUUCAAAUGAGCUCCUAUUCUCAAAGAGGUCAGUGAGGUUAUGAUUUCUAGAGGAGUCAAGAGAUUAGGAGAAUAAACUAAUUAUUCUGACAUGGAAUAGAUAGAAAGGUGAUUGCUGAUUGGUUAAUUCAUUUUUCUUCUGUAAAUCUAUUUCUGUUCAAUUAAUUAAAAUGACACAUAUGUUAUACUCUCCAAAUAUCACACACAUUAUUAUGUAAAGGUUGAGUUAGUCAUUAUGUUGGAAAAGGUCAGGGCUUGAAUUUAAUGCUGGAGGGAGAUACUGUCUUCCAUUCACUUGUCAUAAUUACCACCCCGUUCCCGUCCUACCCACUGGUGGGAUCUCAGCUAUGGUUUUCAGUGGACUUGCCACACUAAGAGUUUUGGACAUCCAUCGAAAAGCUUCUCCAACAAAAGAAAGAUUAAACCAAAAAAAUAGUCUCUAAAUCCAUUCCUUUGGCAUGUGAGCUGAGCUGUAUCACUAGCAGGAUUUGUAAUUCUGUCUUCACCUAUUGCAAGGUAAUGCCAGAAGUCUCUGGGACAUGUGAAGGUUCUUUUGUGUUGGGCAUCUUGCCCAAACAGCAUCACGGGGUAUUUGGUUGGGUGAGAUGUGAAUGCACAAAACAGACCUGAGGAUAAAGAGAGGAGUGGGUACUGUGCUUCAGCCUCAGAGCCAUUGACUUCAAGAUUCUACUGGGUCAACCCUGUGCUCCUAAGUAAGUUUGAUGGAUGCAAGCAUUGAGGCACUUUAUGGUACUGAAGCUUAUAAAAGACCCUUUGUUCAUCCCUUCAGCUCCACAGGGCAACGUAACAGCAGAGAUUAUUUUUGCUACUGGUCAACAGGUCAGUGUCAGUGAUGAGUGAACCAUAAAAAUGAACUAUUCUUGCUGUUAAACCUGGAGUGUUCCUGUACAAUCAUGGGUGGACUCAGAAAUAGCCUUGGAAUAGCUAGAAACGUUUCACUCGGCCACUUCCAACAUUGUAGGCAUAAGUGAAGAAAUAGAAGAAGAAAUGAAUGCCAUUGAGGUCGGGGAGGAAGGCUGGCACCCAGACCCCUCAGGAGCACACAGCACAGGAGCAGAAGCAAGACGUGCUGCCAACUGCAUGAAAGUGAGACUAGAAUGAAACCCAGAUGUUGCUCUGCCCCUCCAAGAGGAGAAGUAUGGCUUUAGAGAGUCUCAAACUGUUGUGUAGUUGUGUUCCACAAACUGCCUGAACUUUACCUGGUUGGAUCACCUCUCUCACCUGGGGAGGUCACUCUGAGCCACAAUCCCGUUGCUCAUAGUUGGGAAUUUUCGUUUAGUUUCAAUUUCCUCAUUUGUCUUAUGUGAAAGUUAAAUGUGAUGGUGUCAAAAGCCUUCCUGAGUCAAGAUAUAUGAUGUCCACUGCUACCCUUUUCCUGCACACUAAUCAUCUUGCUAUAGGAGGGAGGUAGGUUGGUUUGCUGUGAGUUGCUGUGAAAUUUGUUGGCCAUUUCCCACCUUCUUACUGAUGGGCUACGCAUAGGGCAUUGGGUUGUUGUCCCUGUUGUUUUUGCAGGUGGUAGGUUGUGCAGCAGGUCUGCACUUCCCAAGGUGCCUCCUGCACAGGCAGGUAACGUUGUCCUCUGCAUCCCCGGAGGAGAGCUGAUGCUUCUGGAUUAACUUCAGAGCCAUAUCUGGAAAUGCCAUCCUCUUCCUUAUCCCUUAGGAAUACAUUAAUGGAUGUUUAUUCAGUUGCUUGUUUAAAUUAAGUCAUUCUUGCUACUUAUUUUAUUUUUAGUCUUCAACAUAAGCUAUUUCUGUUUUCUCACCAUUCUUUCAUCGAGUCCAAGAUCAGGUCAAGAGCCUCAGAGCUGAUGUGUCAUUUUGCUCAUGACAGCACCCUGACAAGCGGAUGCGGCAGUGUGUUUGAGGCAUCCAGAGAGGAGGAAAAAAGCACAUUUAAAGCAGUAUCAGCAGGAGCUGAUCCCAGCAGCCCAACAUAAUCACUGGGAAUGGAGAAAAUCCAGGAGGUUUCACUGGAACUGAGCAAGAGCUUGACAGCUGGCAAACGCCCAUACGCUUUGCACCAAGAUGAACCCUACUGGAAACUUGACUUUGCUGAUGCUCUACGUAAACUGCAUUUUCAUGGCAGUCCAUUAUGCAGAAGGACACUUCCUUGCUUAAAGGAUUCUCAAUGUCACCGGGUGGUGGCCAAGACCUGGGUGCUUCUUAAACGCUUGUGCAGACGGUGUGAGAGUCAGCGGGGCUUUGCUGAGGCUGGAAAGCUGCCAGAGAGCCCUUCCAGUGGCUGGCUGCUGGGAAAACCCAAAGAGCACAACUGGGAGCCUGAAUGACAUUGUUGAUGGGCCAGCAGCUGUUUGGAAGCUGCCAGACCUUUGCUGCUUGGUGAGCUUUUCUCUUCGAGCUUGGGAAAUGUCCCCAGUGGGAGCUGUGACCUGCCACUGCUGUCACCUGUGGGAAUGCAACACCUGCAGACCCCAGCCGGCUCCUUCCUGCUCCUUCAUCUUGGAAUACCAGCUGCAGGUUGCUUAUCAUCGGUCCGAGCCCUGAAGCAGAGAUGUUUCUAUAAAGAGCAGGAAAGUUGGACUGCAUGUUCUCUCUGUUUAAAUGAAAAUACCUGCUCUUAACCCAAACCACGGCCAGUGCACCACACAAAAUGGGUGUGUCAGAUUUUAAAGGUAGGUGGAAAAUCAGCCUUGUUUUGGGUAAAAUGAGUGAGAAAACCCCUUCCACAGUAAACACGUCCCUGGAACCGGGGGCAAGAGAGAACUGUAUCGGUCUUUGUAAUCCAGUAUGGGAAGAAAUUCAAGCAGAUAGGUAACUUUUUGACCUGACGGGAUGAUUUCCAGCAUUUUUAUUUUGCCUGCAACAACUACGGAGCUCAAGCAGAGCAGACACCUGCAGCUGGGUGCGUACUGCUCAUGCUGUGGGUAAAGUUGUCACUGGCUGCGGGUGGUACCACCUCCUGGGAGAUACCCAGCCCUCGCUCUUCUCUAGAUAAGCAACUUUCUGCAACUCUCAGCAUGCCUAUUUUGAUUUGAGAAGUUUAAACGGAGUCCAGGCAGUCAUGUGGAUGAUCUGCAGGGCUGAUUUGAAGGUUGUUUUCCUGGCAAGCUGGUGCUGCCGGAGCAAACCAGCACAAUACUCUGUGUGCUGCGAGCGGUGGGAAGGUCUCUACAGGGCAGCGUUUGGCCACUGCAGCCACCUUGGACAAGAAGCAAAGCUCAGGUGAAAGCAAACAUGGUUAGUCCAGCAGUGUGUGCAGUCUUUCCGGUGCUUGGAUGAUAUGUAAUGAGCCCAGAGCAUCACAUGCAUGAGAUUCCUCUGUGCUCAGAGGCUGUUAGCAGGGAGCUGGUGGUGGGGCUGUCCCAGGCCACGGAUGGUAUGUCACACAGGGAUCCCACCCCACCAUCGUCCCCACAUCCCACAGUUGCUGCAGUCGUUGCUUCUCCCUUUCUGGGGUGAUUAUUUUCAAUAAUCCUAAAAACUCAGAGGAGAUAACUUCAGCACAGGGAGCCGCUGCGCCACGGGCCACCAUUAGCAAUUAAAAUGAGAUAAACAAUUAGCCUGUGAACUUGGCACAUGGGAUCGCUGCUGCCUCGGCAGCCACCGCAGAGCCACUCUGGGGCUCAGCUGCCUCUGCUCCCGAUCAGAGCAGCACCGGAGGACUGAGGUACAGUGGUGAUGCCCAGAGGAGGUGGGCUCCAUCACAGAGCCCCCCAAGCUGUAUUCUGAUAUUUAUUACACCUUCAUUUUCUUUCUCUUCCCCGCUUCUUCAUCAGGGCACUGGAGGGAAUAGGAGCACGCUAUCUAAUUUCCUAAUUUUCCCGUCAGCUUUCUGGCUUUCAAAAUGAUUGCGGCAGAAAUCUAUAAAACGAGGACGAGGGGAGCAAACUUAAUGCCGCCGUAAAUCUCCAAAAUGGAUGCAGAAACACAGUGCUCAAAGAGGAGUAAAUAAAAGUGAGGAGAGAUUCAUUCCGGUUUUCUUCUCUGUAAACCUGCUGGCAGCUUGGAAUUAUUCAGAAAACAACAUUUAACUGAGAAAAAGGGAACCCUGUAAAAUAGUAAAGAUUAUUCCGUAAAGCUAAGCACCCUCCAUCAAUCAUAGCUGGGAACAUUGCUAAGUUAUAGGAACCCACAGAUGGCUGUCAUUAAAGGGAAAGAGUCUCUCCUGCUCGGUGGGCUGUGCUGCUCCGCGCUGUACGGUUGCAAAUCGAGCUGCUUUCAUGGGGGAGCAACAAAAGUGGUUUUAAAAUAGGAAUUUCAAACAGAAGCUGCGUGAGCUGUUCAGCAGGACUCGGGCUUAUUGAGAAACCACAGCGGUAAUUUCAGGCCUGAUUUACAGGAGGCUGUAAUAAGCCUCCCUCGUUUAGAAGAACACGGUGCUGGUUUUAUGGCUGGUGCACAUCCAGGGCUGGAGGAACUGCUGGGGGGUGGGUGCCCAAGGGCUGUCCCCGUUGCAAACAGGG
ensembl:lncRNA